GUGGGGAAUAUUGGGCAAUGGGCGAAAGCCUGACCCAGCAACGCCGCGUGAAGGAAGAAGGUCUUCGGAUCGUAAACUUCUAUCCUUGGUGAAGAUAAUGACGGUAGCCGAGAAGGAAGCCCCGGCUAACUACGUGCCAGCAGCCGCGGUAAUACGUAGGGGGCAAGCGUUGUCCGGAAUGAUUGGGCGUAAAGGGCGCGUAGGCGGCCUGGUAAGUCUGGAGUGAAAGUCCUGCUUUUAAGGUGGGAAUUGCUUUGGAUACUGUCGGGCUUGAGUGCAGGGGAGGUAAGUGGAAUUCCCGGUGUAGCGGUGAAAUGCGUAGAGAUCGGGAGGAACACCAGUGGCGAAGGCGACUUACUGGACUGUAACUGACGCUGAGGCGCGAAAGCGUGGGGAGCAAACAGGAUUAGAUACCCUAGUAGUCC
rnacentral:rRNA from 1 species